GGUGCCAGAAGCCCAGGAAGCACACAUCAAGGCUCGCUUGCCAGCGGGGUGCUGCCAAUAAAAUGUAGUCACGUGGAAUUUGGAAUGUGGAAAGGAGGUAGAAGUCAUCCUUUCCUCCCCCAUAGCAGCAGGUGUGCAGGCUCUGGUGGUCAGCUGGACUCCAUACUCCCCCACCAGUCACCAGCCUGGGGACCGUGGGGCUGCAAGGACCUCAGCAGCGGUUUCCCAAGUUUCCUGACUUCUUCCAUCCUCUGGAAAUCAGCUGUGGUUCGUGAGCCACACAUCUCCCCACACCAAGCUCCUCCAUACAAGACCUCGGACUGCAUCAUGUAAAUGCUUUUUCAGGGGCAAAAACUAGAGAAUCUGAAAUGUAGAGACAGGGUUUCACCAUGUUGGCCAGGCUGGUCUCGAACUUCUGAGCUCAAGUGAUCCACCCACCUUGGCCUCCCAAAGUGCUGAGAUUACAGCAUGAGACACCAUGCCCAGCUGUGAGCCUGUAUCUUAAUCAAAGUCCUGAGAAUAACCUUGAAGAAGACUCCCUUGCAAUGAGCAACAACAGAAGAAGCAAGGGACCUGG
rnacentral:lncRNA from 1 species